AUUGAACGCUGGCGGCAUGCCUAAUACAUGCCAGUCGAGCGGACGGACGAGACGCUUGCCUCUCUGCUGUUAGCGGCGGACGGGUGAUUACCACGUGGAUGCCCGGCCUAUAAGACUAGCAUCCCUUCAGGAACCCUGAUCUCAUAUCCGAUCAUAUUUUGAACCUCAGGGUUCUUCAGUCAAAGACGGUCUUGCUGAGCCUAGUACGUAUUAGCUAGUUGGUAGGGUAACGGCCUACCAAGGCGACGAUCCAUAACUGAACUGAGAGGGUGAUCAGUCACACUGGAACUGAGACACGGUCCAGACUCCUACGGGAGGCAGCAGUAGGGAAUCUUCGGCAAUGGGCGAAAGCCUGACGGAGCAAUGCCGCGUGAGUGAUGAAGGUCUUCGGAUUGUAAAACUCUGUUAGUUGGGAAGAAGAGAUGUGUAAGUAACCGUGCAUAUCUUGACGGUACCAAAUCAGAAAGCCACGGCUAACUACGUG
rnacentral:rRNA from 1 species